rnacentral:rRNA from 1 species
GAUGAACGCUGGCGGCGUGCCUAAUACAUGCAAGUCGAGCGAAUGGAUUAAGAGCUUGCUCUUAUGAAGUUAGCGGCGGACGGGUGAGUAACACGUGGGUAACCUGCCCAUAAGACUGGGAUAACUCCGGGAAACCGGGGCUAAUACCGGAUAACAUUUUGAACCGCAUGGUUCGAAAUUGAAAGGCGGCUUCGGCUGUCACUUAUGGAUGGACCCGCGUCGCAUUAGCUAGUUGGUGAGGUAACGGCUCACCAAGGCAACGAUGCGUAGCCGACCGGAGAGGGUGAGCGGCCACACUGGGAUUGGGACACGGCCCAGACUCCUACGGGAGGCAGCAGUAGGGAAUCUUCCGCAAUGGACGAAAGUCUGACGGAGCAACGCCGCGUGAGUGAUGAGGGCUUUCGGGUCGUAAAACUCUGUUGUUAGGGAAGAACAAGUGCUAGUUGAAUAAGCUGGCACCUUGACGGUACCUAACCAGAAAGCCACGGCUAACUACGUGCCAGCCGCCGCAGUAA